rnacentral:rRNA from 1 species
UACAGAGGGUGCGAGCGUUGUCCGGAAUCACUGGGCGUAAAGCGCACGUAGGCGGUCUUGUCAGUCAGGGGUGAAAUCCCGGGGCUCAACCUCGGAACUGCCUCUGAUACAGCAAGUCUUGAGUCCGGAAGAGGUGGGUGGAAUUCCUAGUGUAGAGGUGAAAUUCGUAGAUAUUAGGAAGAACACCGGUGGCGAAGGCGGCCCACUGGUCCGGUACUGACGCUGAGGUGCGAAAGCGUGGGGAGCAAACAGG